rnacentral:misc_RNA from 1 species
UGGCGCUGCCCAUGAAAAUUUUCGAAUUUGCCAAAAUCGAGCCUGAUGCAAGUUUUUGUACAGACAGUGGUGAUGAUAAUACUGAGAGAGUGCCGGUAGAAAGAAGUGGGCAUCGCAUUGUUGUUGAUGAUGCCAAUCUGUAUUCCUUGGGUGGCUACAACCCACAGUUUUGGAAUGUUCGUAACACCGAAGACACAUACUAUCCAUUAUUUAAAGAGGUGUGGAAAUUUAAUUUUUCCACCCAUAAAUGGACAAAAAUUAAAACACAAGGAUCAAUGCCGCUGGAGUUAGCUUCACACGCAGCCGUUAGAGAUCGUAAAAAUAUGCUGACAUUUGGAGGAACUGGAGUUCCGUUUGGUGAAUCGAGCAGUAAUGAUCUACAUGUAUUAAAUCUUGAAUCGUACAAGUGGCAGCACUACCAGUGCCGCGGUGACCACCCGGAAGAGAAAUACGGACAUGCCAUGUUGUUGAUAGACGACUACCUGUAUGUGUGUGGAGGCACCACAGGGUGGAUAUACAACAUUGAUGUGCACCGCUUGAAUCUCAGAACACUGGUGUGGGAAAAACUGUCGCCAAAAACAGUAUCAGACUGUGACCCUGAUGGCAGGUAUCGACAUGAAAUAGCAAUACACCAGAAUAAACUGUUCAUGUUUGGAGGUGGAACAGCACACGCAGCGUAUGAUUUUCAAGUGGUUCCGGUGUUCAGCUUGGAAAAGAGAAUAUGGGCAUCAGUAAGAACAGUACCAGACAAUAUACACGGUUUUCCUGCCCCAAGACGUUGUCACAGCUGCACACAGUUUGAGAAUGAUGUGUAUGUGUGUGGUGGGAUGGACGGCGAAAAGAUCACUGGUGAUGUGUGGAGACUGUCCCUGGUCACGUUACAGUGGUCCAGGUGCUGUGACAUGUCAGUUCCUGUGUACUUCCACUCGGCAGACCUCACUCCUAGCGGUUGUUUGUAUUCGUUUGGUGGUGUGACGAAAAUCGACGACGUGAGAACCAGUGUAGUUCAGCGGAUGUGGUUGAAGAUCCCAAGUCUUAAGGAACUGAGCUGGAAUGUUUUAUGUGGUCUCAUGCCACAAUUCAGUGAACAAAACAAACAUACUUUAGUGGAUCUUGGGGUCCCCAGUAAUUUCUUGGACCGUAUCAGCUGACCGCAUAGAUAUAUAUUAAGAUGUUUUAAAUUUCUAUGAAUCGCCUGUGAUCAUAUUUGUAAAAUGAAGGAGAAAUGUGGUGCUGAAUCUGUUGCAAAUUGUGUGCAAUAAUUAUAGGAUAUUAAAAGAGCUUCCAUUUCAUAUCAUGUUUAUGUCCUGAGUGAAAUAAUUGUCAAUUGUCACAAGCUUUACCAAGUGAAUAUGAAAAUUAUUUCCCAAGGGACAUAAACAUGAUAUGAAAUGGUAGCGAGUUUAAUAUCCUAUUUAUUACACAUAAUCGAUCUUAAUUUAUAUUAUUCAACUCAUUUGGUUGAUGUUCCUCCAAGGCUGCGCCAAUCAGUGACGUUGAAGUGUUACGUCCCAUUUGGCAUUCUAGUGGUACAUAUCACUUUGGUGUGUACCAUAUUUUUUACCAUAUGGGUAAUAAUUAAAUAUACGCAUGGAGUUUGUGUAUGUAUGUGUUUGUGUGUGUGUGUGUGUGUGUAUUUUAUUUUUAUUGUGUAAGGUGACAAUCUGUCUGUGUGUUUAUGGUUAGCUAUUUUUUAUUCAGAAGCUUUGAGAAUGCUGUGAUAUAAUCAGUUUUAUUUACUAAUUUAAUUGGACUUUUGGUUUGUUAAAAAGAACUAUCCCAGUACAAAAGAUCUCAUUUGAAAUUUUAAAAAAGCAAAACAAAAUAUUUUUAAAACUUAUGCUUUGACUGACAUACUGUUCCCUUGAAAGUUAUAAGUAGCUGGUAUCCAGCAGUACAAAACAAGGUGUGUCUCUUCUUCUUCUUUUUUCCUCUUUUUUUGCAGGUACUGUUUAUUAAGGGUGGGAAAUAUCACUGCUUUACUGCAUAUUUGCAAUACAAAAAUCCUAAUAGGAUAUAUUACAGUACAUUUUUUGAGAUGAUUUUUUACCUUUAUCAGGAAUGUUUGUAAAACAAAUUCCAGAUAUAUAUACUGUGAGACCUCAAUGAUCCGGACCCCAGUAGUCUGGAAACCCCGCCUUAUGGACAGCCAAAAUACAAAACGAACUCUACACUCUAUAAAUGUGUUUGUUAAUCCGGAUAUUCAUCUUCAGGAACCUGACGGCCAUUAUACAAAACAAAGUGUAAUAAAUAAAGACAAUUUUAUUAUUUGCUUCACUUGAUCAGAUCUUACAGUAGAUUGUUUAAGUAGAAACCAAAAUAUAACUUGCACAGUAGGUCCUUUAAUAAUUAGAAACAAAUAUAUAACUUGCACAGUAGGUCCUUUAAUAAUUAGAAACAAAUAUAUAACUUGCACAGUAGGUCUUUUAAUAAUUAGAAACAAAUAUAUAACUUGCACAGUAGGUUCUUUAAUAAUUCGAAACAAAUAUAUAACUUACACCAAGUUAGUUCAGCCAUGGCCAGUAAACACCAUGAACAACUAACACAUGUCAGAAUGGCGCCAAAACGUCUCACACCUAGCUGAGUAUCUUUAAUUGUAGGUCCUAUGUUUGAUAGUUUUUCUUCAGUGUGUGACUCUGAGAGACAUGGUUCACUGAUCUAAGUUAGUGUUUUAUUAACACUUUCAUUGCCGUUAUAAAAUGUAAUUACAGUAAUAAAAUUAAGACCAACAGUCAGUGGUAAAAGGUAAGUAAAUAUUAUUUUUACACUAAUCCCAAGAAGUGUAAAUGUCAAACAAGUACAGCCUUUAAAGAAAACUGUUGAUAUAAAUAAAUUAAAAAUCCAGUUAAGAAAUGACUUAAAAAAUUGAGCUGUCUAUGGUAACUUAAUGAUUGACGAGAGACAGAAAAAUUAUUUCUUAUAAGUUACAUGUAGAAUUAUUUUCUAUCAAUAGGUCUAAUCAGUAUUUUGGGAAUAUAAGUAUAUUUGUUAUACGUUAUUUAUUAUGUUUGUUAAAACUGUAUUUGUUGCUUCAUUUUUAAUGGAUUGCUGUUCAAAGGAAAUAAGUCUUCAGGUACAAUUCAGUACUACAGAAAUUUGAUAAUCCGGACACUUUUAGGAAAAAAACGUACUGUCCGGAUAAUCAGGGUUCCAUUGUAUGUUAAUGCAUAUUUGAUUGUGUUAUUCGGUUAUAUUUGGUAAAUACAUACAAACUGGCUGCUUAUUUUGACAUACACUGUGUAUUGUGUCACAAUAUAUUCAGGGCAGUAAUCAAUGUAAAAACUUGUCUGUUUGUCCUGACAAGUUAAAAUCUGCUCGGACAAGCAAAUUGUACCUCAUUGGAUGUCCAGUGGACAAGUAAAAAUGUUCAAUACAGUUUCAUUUUGAUUAAUCAAAAACAUUAUCCUUGCACUUCAAUACAACAAACCAUUUAUUUGGACAAGUGAAAAUAUUGGAAGACAAGUAUAUUUAUAGAUGUACUUUCCCGGUGGACUAGUAAAAAUUUCUGUUUAUUUCUAACACUGAAUCAUCAUUCCACGUCAAAUCAACCAGUGAUUAGAACCAUGCCAUUUUGUUUAUACUAAAGUCAAGUUUGAAUAAAAGUAUGAAACCACAGCAAUUCUUGUUAAACAUGAGUGGUGCUGAUCAAACAAUGUGGCAUUAACAUUCAUGUUCCUUCCCUCCUCCGCAAUACACUACGGUACACUGCACUAAACCACACUGUGUGGCCAAUCUUUCUUAAUCCAGGGGACUAAUUCACUAAACUCUCGCAACUUUGCGAUCUCGCAGUGCAAUGCUAAAAGACUUGCAAAGAGGAUGCUUUGUUGUCUAGCAGAGCCUAAGAUACCUUUGUGAAUUAGGACCCAGUCUGGCAGUCUUCGACAUAAAAGAUGCAUGCACAGAGCUCACUCUGUCCAUUGCUAAAGUAGCCGUUUGCUAAUUUUUAUAUAAUAGAAAGUGGCUACAACAUUUAUUUGGCUAAUAAACUUUUGUUUAAAUUAGCUACUUUUGAAUAAUUUUCAGGGUAAUACUCUACAAAUGUGAAAAUUGGCUAAAUCAAAAAAAAGAAAAAAGAAUCCAUUGUCAGCCCAGCAUGUAUUUGAGCAAUGUGAUACAUUAUGAGAUUGCAUAUAUGUUUAAACUUUAUUUUUUAUUUUUAAAUUAAAGCAUUGUAAUAAUGUA